GUCUUCAUCGUCUAGUGGUUAGGACACCGCCCUUUCACGGCGGUAACACGGGUUCAAACCCCGUUGAAGAUA
rnacentral:tRNA from 1 species